rnacentral:rRNA from 1 species
UACGUAGGGUGCAAGCGUUGUCCGGAAUUAUUGGGCGUAAAGAGCUCGUAGGCGGUCUGUCGCGUCUGCUGUGAAAACUCGGGGCUUAACCCCGGGCCUGCAGUGGGUACGGGCAGACUAGAAUUCGGUAGGGGAGACUGGAAUUCCUGGUGUAGCGGUGAAAUGCGCAGAUAUCAGGAGGAACACCGGUGGCGAAGGCGGGUCUCUGGGCCGAUAUUGACGCUGAGGAGCGAAAGCGUGGGGAGCGAACAGG